AGCGUGAAUUUCCCUUCGAUUAUCAAAAGCCUUGACUCCCGCAAAGUAUGCACUUUUCCCUACCUUCCUUGCUCUCUAAAUCAUCGACCACAGACGAUUCCGAGCUUAUUUGUCAAAUGCUGUCAGAUCAUCCUUGAACUUCAGGUUGUUCUUCUUUAAAUAGUCAUUUUUCUUUGCACUUUUCCAUGUCAUAUCCCUCGCAGUCCUGGAGAUGAAUCUCGUGAUCACUGGUCGUUUUCCCCAUCUCUCAGCCUACCCAGGCGGUGCACUACAUCCAGAGAACCUGCAACAACAUUAUUGCCCUGCAAAUGUCCUUCACUCUUGCUUUCAAUGUCCUUGUCAGAUUUUUCUGCAAUUCCAUAAAUUCAAAGAUUCCAUCUCCGACUAUCCGGUCAUUCUCGUUUACCUUUGACUCAAUUUCAGUGAGCUUCUUCUCCUGCUUUGCAACCUGAAAUUUCAAUGUUGCGUUCUGCUGCUUCCGAGUUUUUACUUCCUCAGCAUUGAAAUCAAUCGAAAAGUGUUAUUUUUCACCAAAUUCAUGUCAUCUGCGCUCUCUUUGAUUUUACGCUUCGAACACACCGGUGCGUCACUGCUGCACAACAUUUUGCGCAGCUAGGCAACUAUACUGACGUAGGUACCUUUUGCAAAUGGUCGCAUGCGGUUGGACACAUGGAGGAGAGAAUCAUUUUCGCAGUAUCCUCAAAACCGUGUGCUUUUGACACAACUUCUGAUAGCUACAGGGACAUAAACACAAAAAAAUGCUGCUUGGAGACAAGUGUCCACGAUAGUAGGAUUGCCAGAAGAAGAAUGUAGGAGGAAGUGGAGAGGACUCAGGGACAGGUAUCAGAGGGAGAGAAGUGCAGAGAAA